UGCUGAUUUUGAUGGCGACCGGCGCACGGGUGAGUAACACGUAUCCAACCUGCCCAUUACUCAGGGAUAGGCUUCUGAAAGGGAGAUUAAUACUUGAUAUGUCAUAAUUUCGCAUGUCAUUAUGAUGAAAGAUUUAUCGGUGAUGGAUGGGGAUGCGUUCCAUUAGCUUGUUGGUGAGGUAACCGCUCACCAAGGCUUCGAUGGAUAGGGGUUCUGAGAGGAAGGUCCCCCACAUUGGAACUGAGACACGGUCCAAACUCCUACGGGAGGCAGCAGUGAGGAAUAUUGGUCAAUGGACGUAAGUCUGAACCAGCCAAGUAGCGUGAAGGAUGACUGCCCUAUGGGUUGUAAACUUCUUUUGUUCGGGAAUAAUAUGCCUUACGUGUAGGGUAUUGCAUGUACC
rnacentral:rRNA from 1 species